ACCGUAUGAAAGCAUAUAUAAACAAUAGAGAGAGAAAGUAUGAUGAGAGAGAAGAAAUUCAAGAUUAGAACGCUUGAGAUCUUGAAAUCUGGGUGUUGAUUUGGUCAAGAAAUGGAUUGAAUCCAAAUUUUUACUUUGGAGAUAAAAAAUUGUAAAGAAAGUGCUAGAAUCUGUUCUUACGGUUUUUAGGAUAAAUGUGGUUUGUACAUGAACCAACCCCAUUCAGAAAGAAAGGUGAUGAUUAACGAGUAGUGAUCGAAAUCUCUUGUAAAGGUAACUCAUGUUCUUAUUUUGUGUUUUUCUUUAAUGUUCAGUGUUAUCAUGACGGGGUAAUGUUUACUAAACAUUUAACCCAUUUAUUAGAACCUGUAAACCUAUUUACAACUUGAUUACAUGUUCAGGUUACACGAUUUUAAAUUUUUUUGAGUU